AACGCACAUUGCGCCCGCUAGUAUUCUGGCGGGCAUGCCUGUUCGAGCGUCAUUUCAACCAUCAAGCCCUAGGCUUGCGUUGGAGCCCUGCGGCUGCCGCAGGCUCCCAAAUCCAGUGGCGGGCGCCUGCCGUAAAACCCCCUACAUACCAAAGGUUGACCUCGGAUCAGGUAGGAAUACCCGCUGAACUUAA
rnacentral:misc_RNA from 1 species